rnacentral:sRNA from 1 species
UGAGUGAGUGUUUCCUUCCACCAAAGGUC